rnacentral:tRNA from 1 species
CCGCCACUAGCUCAGCAGGAUAGAGCCGGUGAAGCCGUUGUCACAGGUGCGGGGUUCGAGGCCCCGGUGGCGGUCCA